GUCCAAUAUACAAUAUAAUAAGCUUUUAUCUUUUUUAAAGUGUCGUGCGAAUUUUCAUUAUUUAAUAGAUUGUAAAUCAAAAGACGAUUAAUAAUUUAUAUAUAUAUAUAUAACCGAAUAUAUAGUACGUAAAUAUAAUAAAUAUUUCUUUAAGAAGUGAAAUUAAGAACUCUAUAUAAAAUAUACCAAAUUAUUAUGUGUAUAUAAAACAGAAUUCGGUAUAUAACAUAAAGUAUAUAAUAAUUAUAAUAACAAGUAUAUAUAUUUUUAAAAAUUACCAAAAAAACUUUUAAUAAUAAAAUGGUUAAUUGUAUAAAGAAUGAAAAAAAACUAAUAUAUUAACAAAACUGUUAUAAUAUAAACGUGUAAUUUAUUUAAAAUAUAAUAAUUACGAUAUACAAUAAGAGGAAAACUGAAUAGAAACAGAAACGAAAAAAACAAUAAAAACAAAAAAAUUACAUAUGUUGUUGAUGCAGUAAAUUAUAUAAAAAUUAAAGAAAUAAUAAAAAAUAUAAUAAAAAAAUAUUAACUAAAAAUUGGAAAAGUGUAGUAGAAAAAUUAUUAUAAAAACAAUUUCAUUAUAUAAAAUGUAAAAGGAGUAAAGGACUUUUAUAUGUUAUACUUGAAUAGUUUAAAAACUUUAAUGAUUUUAACAAUUCUAUGAUAACAUUUGUGAAUUAUUAUUAAAGAAAUUGUGUUAAUAAAAUUGUUGCGGAAAGAAUUAAAUAAUUAACAAACAAAAAAAAAAAAGAGUCAGAAAAAAAUUUAUAAAAUAUUUUUAAUAUUUAAUUUUUUUUUUUGGAAGCUUAAUACCACCACCGACGAUACACCGCUAAUAAAUAAUAAUAAUAAUUAAUGAAUUUUAAGAAUACUAUAAUAAUUGAAUAAUUCAAUUAAAAUAGAAAUCAUAAUAUUAUAAUUAAAUAUAAUUUUAAAAAUAAUACUUAACGCUUAUUAAUUAUAUAAAAAAAUAAUAUAAUAAAAAAUUAUAUAUACAUAGUUAAA